rnacentral:lncRNA from 1 species
UAAAAUUCACUAAAAGUUCAGGUGAUUUUUAGCAUAUUUUAGCAAUAAAGUAUUUUUAAAUUAAGGUAUAUACAUUGGUUUUUUGUUAGUCACAAUGCUAUUGCACUCUUAGUAGACAACAGUGUAGUGUUAAGCAUAACUUUUGUAUGUACUAGGAGAUCAGAAAAUUCAUGUGGCUCGCUUUAUUGCAGUUAUUUUCAUAUCACAUUGUAGUUGUAUAUAUCUCAAAAUGUUAUUUUGUUCAUCCCUGCUUCAAAAUGAUAGCCAUUAUUAGACCUGCAACAAGAUCCUAUUAUUGAGUGAAUACAGAAGCACAUUUGUCAUAAUUUUGCUUUUGAACCGUUUGAUUUGAGAUGGAGUCUAACUCACCCUGUCACCCAGGCGGAAGUGCAGUGGUGCCAUCUCGGCUCACUGCAAUCUCUGCCUCCCAGGUUCAAAUAAUUCUCCUGCCUCAGCCUCCCAAGUAGCUAUAGCUGGGAUUACAGGCGUGUACUACCACACUUGGCUAAUUUUUGUAUUUUUAGUAGACAUGUUGUUUCACCAUGUAGGCCAGGCUGGUCUUGAUCCUGACCUCAAAUGAUCUGCUCACCUCAGCCUUCCAAAGUGCUGGGAUUACAGGAAUGAGCCAGUGUGCCUGGCCAGAGUCUCAGUUUUAUAUAUAGUUAUUGGCAUGCUAUAUUGUGUCUUCAAAUAAAAUUAUAUAUAUAUAUAAAAUAUGAAAUUCUUCAAGGCAGCAACUUUACUAAAUGCAGUUAGUCCUAUUUGAGGUGGAAAGCCUUAUUUAUUCUAGGUGAGGAGUCAGCAUGCUUUU